CAUUCUUCCCUUAACACGGAUCAGUUGUCCUGUCCCCUUUGUAGAAAAGCAGCCCCAAAGCAUGAUGUUUCCACCCCCCAUGCUUCACAGUAGAUAUGGUGUUCUUGGAAUGCAACUCAGCAUUCUUCUUCCUCCAAACACAACAAGUUGAGGUUUUACCAAAACGUUCUACAGUAUUUUGGUUUCAUCUGACCACAUGAUAUUCUCCCAAUCCUCUUCUGGAUCAUCCAUAUCCUCUCUGGCAAACUUCAGAUGGGCCUGGACAUGUACUGGCACUGCAGGAUGGAGU